GGCACAUAAUAGAAGCUCAAUUACAUGCCCUCCUAGGAGCUAAAUACAUCUUCCCCUUACGUUUGUCCUUUUGAAAAGAUUUACGAAUGUCUUCACAUGGUCCUCGAAAGACCCAGUUUGUCACGUGUCAAAUGCACCGACUCUGUGGAGUGGCUGUAACAUUAGAUGGCACCUCUGUGCCACUUCUGUGGCACCUGUCCAAUACUAAUUGAACUGCACCCUGGGCCCCUGUGGGCUAAGUGUUGGGGCCACGCGGGGAACAAGACAAACAGGUCCAGGUCCCGAACAAGGGCUGCCGGGUGCCCCGACUUCGACAGCGACAGGGACCCACGCUUGGGCUCAGGCUGCGCUUCCCGGUAUCAUAAUGAGUGUUGUCACCGUCAUCCAUCAUGGUUGUCUCUAGGGUUACACGGAACCACCUAAGCCCAUCGUUUGUCCGGGAAAAUUAUCCUGAAUUCAAAUGUGUUGCCAUUGGAGGCCCAGCGGCUGUGCCUCUGAUAGUUACAGUGGACGGGGCGAGGGGCCAAGGGUCAAGGGCGUAGGCUAGACCCAGGCCUGCCAUGACCUCUGUACAACCUCAGGCAAGUCCCUACCUUCUCAACGAUCUUGUGCACUUCAAUUCUGUGGUUUGGGGGUUCUACGUUACACCACCCGUAACAUGCGUGCCCUCAUACGCCCACAUUUGAAUUGAUCGCCAGGCUCCUGUCCCCUGCCUCCCCGCACUCCUUGCUUUCAGUGACUCAGCCAGGCACUUACAGGGUCUGUGGCCCAAAGGAACAGUACUCUACUGGCUCCGGGACCCUUCGGCCAUUUGCCAAAUAUGUAGGGAACCACAGGGAGAAGGGACCCAGAAGAGACGUCUUCACGUGGUGGCACUCAAGUCUGUGUGUGAAAUAAACCAAACAGCCAACUUUGUGGGGUCGGGGAGGAAGGGUUGUGCAACUCCCACUCCUUCAGAAGGGCUCACCUGAGUGGCUGAGAGGUAUGCCAGAGUCGCUCAGCACCGAGGAGGGCAAGUUGGCUCCCCAGCCAACUUGUCUCGAGGGCAGGGGAGCCCUUUGGAACCAACCACGACAUGCACUCAUUGGAUCCAACAGCUGGCAACUUCUCCAAAAGCCACUGUGCGGGGAGUCUGCUGGCCCCAGAUCCCCUAGCAGAAUCAGGGACAGCAGAGGUUGCUUGCUUCCUCUCUCCAUGACGGGCAUCGGUGAAGGACCUGGGACCUUCUGAAAGGAAGGAUAGAGGGAAACCGACUCUCUCCUCUUCCCGUCCCCGGUGGAAGCAGUGGGAUCCGUCAGAUUUCUUUCAUCCAAAAAAAAAAAAAAAAAACCCAAACUCUCCAUCCCCAUGUCGUUUUCUAGACACUGCCCUACUUCUCUCUUUCCUUCGCAGCCCAACUUCUGCAGAGCUGCGUGCAUGGAAGCUCACCACUUCUGUCCCACCUGCCCUCUCCUUGAGCCAGCACUACCUGACUCCCAUCCCCGUCCACCGAAACUAUACCACUGCGGUCACCAACCACUUCCUGUGCUCAAAUCCAGAGGAAGCUCUCCCACUCUCAUUCUCUUGGACCACUCGGACGCAUUUGACCCUGUUGGCGCCUCCCCUGUUCUAGAACCCCUUCUCUUGGUUUUCGUGACACCGUUCUCUUAUCGAUCCUACUUCGGCCCCUCAGAUCCCUCUUCGAUCCCUUCUUGCAGGCUCUGUUUCCACGGACCCGCGCUUUCAGCUCUGCUUUCUGUUACAUCAUAGUGUCACUGUGUGCUGUGCUCCACCAGUGGACUGGGUCCAUCUUGGCCGCCUUGGUCAUUACCAUAGGGAUUCAUGACGUCCUGCUCAUUGAGUGAACGGAUAGGUAGAUGAAUGGACACACGGACGGCUCCAUCUGGCACUACUCCUCACAUUUUGUCCAAUGGAGGUGGGUGGACUUCAAGGCCCGUAUUGGAGGUAAUAACUCAUCCGUGUGUGACCUAUUCAGGUACCUUCUCGACUACCGUGAAGGACCUUCUAGGAGGAGGUGGUGGGUCCUGGGAGAGAGAGGCAUGUCACCUGAGCAGAAGAGGCUAAUACCAUGGCUCGGCCCUGCUAGAUUCCUGGUUCUUUCUAGAAUCCGAGUUUUCGAUCAUGUCCAGUUAUCCACAGUUAAGAAAGGAAGGGGAAAGGGGGACACUAAGAGGGCCGCUGGAGGGAAGGGGUGAGAAGAGGAAGAGGGGAGAGAAGGCUACGCAGAGAAGGGGGCACCGAGAAGGGGGUGUCGGGGAGGCACGGGUUCGAGAGGAGAGUAAGACCUUGGGUGUGCUGAGGUGUGUCCGUAAGUCCUAACUGUGGCGACAAAACCGCUCCCGGGCACGUCAGGACCUCGGAUGGGAUUGCCACUUGGCAGCUGGGCCACUCUUCAUUGCCCCUCUCCUUUUAACCUUUAUAGCAACAGACACCCUGUUCUGUGCAGACAGCUCACAGCCACCUUCUGGGCAGAGUGGCUACUCCCUCCUCUGGGCCCUUGGCACCUUUUCUCACAUCUGAUACAGGCCUGGCUGCAGCAUGUCACCCGUUGGAGCUUGACCUGCCCGUCUCCUUCGGAAUGUACGGCCCUCUUUGUCUCCGUACCUCUGGCCACUAGCUCAGGCCUGGCACCUCCUACUACAGACACCUGCUCAAUAUAAUGUAUUUUCUUUUGAGGAUAAAGGAAUGAAUGAAUGAAGAUUCAAAGACUCUGCCCUCAAGGGGCUUACAGUUUCCCUGGGCAUAUGAAAUAAAAGCAAUAAGGGAGGGAGGA